AUGCAAGUCGAGGGGUAACGGAAGUAGCUUGCUACUAGACGACGACCGGCGCACGGGUGAGUAACGCGUAUGUAAUCUGCCUUGUACAGAGGGAUAGCCCAGAGAAAUUUGGAUUAAUACCUCAUAGUAUUACUGGAUCGCAUGAUUUGGUAAUUAAAGCUCCGGCGGUACAAGAUGAACAUGCGUGACAUUAGCUAGUUGGUAAGGUAACGGCUUACCAAGGCUACGAUGUCUAGGGGUUCUGAGAGGAUGAUCCCCCACACUGGUACUGAGACACGGACCAGACUCCUACGGGAGGCAGCAGUGAGGAAUAUUGGUCAAUGGACGCAAGUCUGAACCAGCCAUCCCGCGUGAAGGAUGACUGCCCUAUGGGUUGUAAACUUCUUUUAUAUGCAAAUAAACCUACUUUCGUGAAAGUAGCUGAAGGUAGCACAUGAAUAAACACCGGCUAACUCCGUGCCAGCAGCCGCGGUAAUACGGAGGGUGUAAGCGUUAUCCGGAUUUAUUGGGUUUAAAGGGUACGUAGGCGGUAAUAUAAGUCAGUGGUGAAAUCCUGCAGCUCAACUGUANAACUGCCAUUGAAAACUGUAUUACUUGA
rnacentral:rRNA from 1 species